rnacentral:rRNA from 1 species
AGAGUUUGAUCCUGGCUCAGGAUGAACGCUGGCGGCGUGCUUAACACAUGCAAGUCGAACGAAGCACUUUACCUGAUUUCCUUCGGGGAUGAUUGUUCUGUGACUGAGUGGCGGACGGGUGAGUAACGCGUGGAUAACCUGCCUCACACAGGGGGAUAACAGUUGGAAACGACUGCUAAUACCGCAUAAGCGCACAGCACCGCAUGGUGCAGUGUGAAAAACUCCGGUGGUGUGAGAUGGAUCCGCGUCUGAUUAGCUUGUUGGCGGGGUAACGGCCCACCAAGGCGACGAUCAGUAGCCGGCCUGAGAGGGCGACCGGCCACAUUGGGACUGAGACACGGCCCAGACUCCUACGGGAGGCAGCAGUGGGGAAUAUUGCACAAUGGGGGAAACCCUGAUGCAGCGACGCCGCGUGAGCGAUGAAGUAUUUCGGUAUGUAAAGCUCUAUCAGCAGGGAAGAUAAUGACGGUACCUGACUAAGAAGCUCCGGCUAAAUACGUGCCAGCAGCCGCGGUAAUACGUAUGGAGCAAGCGUUAUCCGGAUUUACUGGGUGUAAAGGGAGCGUAGGCGGUCCUGCAAGUCUGAUGUGAAAGGCCGGGGCUCAACCCCGGGACUGCAUUGGAAACUGUAGGACUAGAGUGUCGGAGGGGUAAGUGGAAUUCCUAGUGUAGCGGUGAAAUGCGUAGAUAUUAGGAGGAACACCAGUGGCGAAGGCGGCUUACUGGACGAUGACUGACGUUGAGGCUCGAAAGCGUGGGGAGCAAACAGGAUUAGAUACCCUGGUAGUCCACGCCGUAAACG